UACGGAGGGUGCAAGCGUUAUCCGGAUUCACUGGGUUUAAAGGGUGCGUAGGCGGAUUGGUAAGUCCGUGGUGAAAUCUCCAAGCUUAACUUGGAAACUGCCAUGGAUACUAUUAGUCUUGAAUUUUCUGGAGGUCAGCGGAAUAUGUCAUGUAGCGGUGAAAUGCUUAGAUAUGACAUAGAACACCAAUUGCGAAGGCAGCUGGCUACAGGGAUAUUGACGCUGAGGAGCGAAAGCGUGGGGAGCGAACAGG
rnacentral:rRNA from 1 species